rnacentral:rRNA from 1 species
UGUGAGGCCCCUUGGACGAGUCGAGUUGUUUGGGAAUGCCUCUCUAAAUGGGUGGUAAAUUUCAUCUAAAGCUAAAUACCGGCCAGAGACCGAUAGCGCACAAGUAGAGUGAUCGAAAGAUGAAAAGCACUUUGGAAAGAGAGUUAAACAGUACGUGAAAUUGUUGAAAGGGAAGCGCUUGCAACCAGACUUGCCCGCGGGUGAUCCGCCGUCCUUCGGGGCGGUGCACUCUCCCGCGAUCAGGCCAGCAUCGGUUCGGGCGGCCAGAUAAAGGCGUCGGGAACGUGGCUCCCCCCGGGGAGUGUUAUAGCCCGUCGCGCCAUGUGGUCAGCCGGGACCGAGGACCGCGCUUCGGCUAGGAUGCUGGCGUAAUGGUUGUCAGCGACCCGUCUUGAAACACGGACCAAGGAGUCUACGAAUUUUGCGAGUGUUUGGGCGUCAAACCCAUGCGCGCAAUGAAAGUGAACGGAGGUGGGAACCUUUACCGGGGCACCAUCGACCGAUCCUGAUGUCUUCGGAUGGAUUUGAGUACGAGCAAGAUUCGUGGGACCCGAAAGAUGGUGAACUAUGCGUGUGUAGGGUGAAGCCAGGGGAAACCCUGGUGGAGGCUCGCAGCGGUUCUGACGUGCAAAUCGAUCGUCAAACAUGCGUAUAGGGGCGAAAGACUAAUCGAACCAUCUAGUAGCUGGUUCCUGCCGAAGUUUCCCUCAGAUAGCAGUAACGUUUUCAGUUUAUGAGGUACGCUCCACAUCACCUUUUCAGCGAGACAUAACUAACCCCCCUAGGUAAAGCGAAUGAUUAGAGGCCUUGGGGAGAAACUUCCUUAACUAUUCUCAACUUUAAUAUGUAGAAGUCCU